rnacentral:lncRNA from 1 species
CCACUAGACCUCAACAUGAGCUUGGAAUGCUUCUUAAUAUAAUAAUCUGUCCAACAUCAACAGAUGGAAUUCAAAACUCUUUAAUACGACAGCCAAAGACGAGCUGCAUUGUGCUACAACUUUCUCAUCUCUGCUAUUUCACACAUAAAAUAGAAGUCACCAGAAUGUGAAGUGAACUUCUGAUGAUAAGCCAAGGAGCAGUGAGUGGCCAUCUGGUGCACUACUUGGGUUCCUGGAGACUGGUGAUUCCUCACAGCAACUGGAUGGUGACGUGGUUUCAAGAAAGAUAUAUCAUUGGCCUCAUAUAUGUUAAAAACAAACUGGUAUUGCUGAUGUCAACAUUGCACCAUGAUGGAAAUAUUAAUAAGGAAACCUUGACAAAAUGAAAGCCUGCAACAGAAACUCUCUACAACAAAACCAAAGGUGAGUUGAUGCUGCUGAUGAGUUAUGUGUAACUAUGAUACUGAAACAUAAAGCAUUGGCCAAUGGUUGUGUUUUUCUCAAUUCUAAAUGUGUGGCAUAGAUAUUAUGAUAGUUUACAAAGAAAAUAAAAAGUGCAUAAUACCACAGGGAAAUCUUAGGUGAUUGGGACUGGAAAUCACAAGAAAUAAUUUAUAGCAGAGGAAAAACAAAAUGUUGCUGCCCAGGGAACUACACAAUAAUAAUUUUGGAGCAAAAUGGUAAGCUGACAGGUGAACAGCAGGAACAGC